UUAAAAAGAAUUAAUUCUUCAAAUAUUAUUUUUUUUUCAAAUUUCAAAUAUUGAAAAAUUUCAAGAAGUAAUCUUUAAUUGCACAGUAUGGCGCAUUAGAUUUGUAAAAUCUUUGAUCACAUUUAUUUAUUUGUUAUGCCGAAUCUAACAGUGUAUUUAGAUUUUUAAUUUUGGGUCCAGUUUUCAAAUUGGUCUACAUUAAUGUCCAAAGGGUCAAAAAUUAAACUUUGUUUGAUUUUAGCAAAAAUUGAAUAUAUGAGGUUCUUUGAUAUGCUGAAUCUAAACAUGUAUUUAGAUUUUUGAUUUUUGGCCCAGUUUUCAAGUUGGUCCAAAUUGGGGUCCAAAAUUAAACUUUGUUUGAUUUCAACAAAAAUUGAAUAUAUGAGGUUCUUUGAUAUGCUGAAUCUAACCAUGUAUUUAGAUUUUUUAUUUGUAGGCCCCGCUAUCAAAUUGGUUCAUAUUGAGGUCAAAAGGGUCCAAAAUUAAACUUUGUUUGAUUUCAUCAAAAAUUGAAUUAUUGGGGUUCUUUGAUAUUCCAAAUCUAACCGUGUAUUUAGAUUUUUAAUUUUAAGUCCCGUUUUUUAAAUUGGUCUACAUUAAGGUCCAAAGGGUCCAAAAUUAAACUUUA